CCUGGGCUUCCAAAGUUGGAGAAAGCUGCCAGGCUCAGGUCUGAAGGCCAGAAUUCUACAGUAAGUCCUACUCAGUCAAGGUGGGAGCAGGGUCAGUGGCUUCCGAGGCUCUGCGGGAGAAUCCGUUUCCUGGCCGUGGAGGUGGCCUGCACUCCUCAGCUUGUGCUGCCCGUCUCGAAUGACUGGAGUUUCCUGCUUCUGUCACUACACCUCCCACCCUCUCCAUCACCUGCUCUGCUCUUAUAAGGAUCCGAGAUUCUCCUGCCUCAGCCUCCUGAGUAGCUGGGACUACAGGCGCCUGCCACCAUGCCCUGCUGUUUUGUAUUUUUGGGAAAUGGAAUAAUCGUAUCGCUGAUCUACGUAAACAAAUUGAAGAAUUGUCUGAAAGAAAAUAUGUUAUGUCUAAACUGGAAAAGUCCUGUAAUCUUAUGUUCAUGGGCUUUUACACAAUGGAGUUACUGUUCAUCAUGGGGGUACCGUGGACAAGCCCAGAGCUGCCGGCGAGUCAUGCCAUCCUUACACGUUUCUCCUUGGAAGGCGUGAACUUAUGAAUUCAACAGGUGAAGAUUUACAACUUGAUAAAUCAGCUUCAUGAGGGCCACCUGAGCUGAAGAUUCCCUUGAGAACAAGUACUGUCCUGUGGUUUCAUGGCCUUUCUUCCAUUUGUGGUUCUUGCGA
rnacentral:lncRNA from 10 species